ACAUGACUGUUGGCCAGAGAAUUUUGGAGCUGGAGCCUUGUGUCAGGAGCCUAGGGUCUGGGAGUAUGGCAAACCAACCUUCCGACUGGUGCAGAUUAAUCUGAGUCUCUGAAUCUGUAAGACGAUGCAGGCAAGCUUAUGUGAAAUUUUCAUUUCAAGCAAUAGCUCAAAAAAUGGACGAGCCAAGCUCUCUACAGAUUGUUCAGGUUGUAAUGCAAAUAGGCCUUCCAAUGCAGCAUGUACUAAGAAAACACUAAAGACUGCUCAAAGAAACAAUUCCUGGUCUACACUGUCACUUGAACAUUGAAAUGGAAAACUGAUUAGAACAUACUACAUUGUUAAAAUCAUCAUGCAAAGGCAACAUUGUCAAGGCCUUUUGGAGGGCGCAUCAGGUCACUUCUUGAAAAAUAAGAGAAGAUGGAAUCCUGCUUUUCCUUUCAGGGUAAAUAAUAGUCUCCAUGAAAGAAAAACAUCUCAAUGAAGAACUCUAGACAGGACGCUGGGCAGAAUGAACUCCACUGGUUUGCCAUUAUGAUGAAUUUAAGUAUACAGCCACCCAUCCCAUGAAAGCCAAAAAAACAGGUGAAGAUAAAUAAACAGUUGUUCCAGUU
rnacentral:lncRNA from 1 species